rnacentral:rRNA from 1 species
UCGUUACGCUAGCGGCAGCCUACACAUGCAAGUCGAGGGGUAGAGGAAGCUUGCUUCCUUGAGACCGGCGCACGGGUGCGUAACGCGUAUGCAAUCUACCUUUUACAGAGGGAUAGCCCAGAGAAAUUUGGAUUAAUACCUCAUAGUAUAUAUCAUUCGCAUGUUUGGUAUAUUAAAGUUCCAACGGUAAAAGAUGAGCAUGCGUCCCAUUAGUUAGUUGGUAAGGUAACGGCUUACCAAGACGAUGAUGGGUAGGGGUCCUGAGAGGGAGAUCCCCCACACUGGUACUGAGACACGGACCAGACUCCUACGGGAGGCAGCAGUGAGGAAUAUUGGUCAAUGGACGCAAGUCUGAACCAGCCAUGCCGCGUGCAGGAAGACGGUCCUAUGGAUUGUAAACUGCUUUUGUACGGGAAGAAACCCUCCGACGUGUCGGAGCUUGACGGUACCGUAAGAAUAAGCAUCGGCUAACUCCGUGCCAGCAGCCGCGGUAAUACAGAGGGUGCAAGCGUUAAUCGGAAUUACUGGGCGUAAAGCGCGCGUAGGUGGUUAGUUAAGUUGGAUGUGAAAUCCCCGGGCUCAACCUGGGAACUGCAUUCAAAACUGACUGACUAGAGUAUGGUAGAGGGGUGGGGUGGAAUUCCCUGGGUAGCGGUGAAAUGCGUAGAUAUAGGAAGGAACACCAGUGGCGAAGGCGACCACCUGGACUGAUACUGACACUGAGGUGCGAAAGCGUGGGGAGCAAACAGGAUUAGAUACCCUGGUAGUCCACGCCGUAAACGAUGUCAACUAGCCGUUGGGAGCCUUGAGCUCUUAGUGGCGCAGCUAACGCAUUAAGUUGACCGCCUGGGGAGUACGGCCGCAAGGUUAAAACUCAAAUGAAUUGACGGAAGGGCG